GAUGAACGCUAGCGGCAGGCCUAAUACAUGCAAGUCGAACGAGAUUAAGAGGCUUGCUUCUUAUGAAAGUGGCGCACGGGUGCGUAACGCGUAUGCAACCUACCUUAAUCAGGGGGAUAGCCCGAAGAAAUUCGGAUUAAGACCGCAUAAAAGCACAGGAUAGCAUUAUCCAAUGUUCAAAUAUUUAUAGGAUUAAGAUGGGCAUGCGUGUCAUUAGCUAGUUGGCGGGUAACGGCCCACAAGGCGACGAUGACUAGGGAUCUGAGAGGAUGACCCCCCACACUGGUACUGAGACACGGACCAGACUCCUACGGGAGGCAGCAGUAAGGAAUAUUGGACAAUGGGCGAAAGCCUGAUCCAGCCAUGCCGCGUGUGUGAAGAAGGUCUUCGGAUUGAAAGCACUUUAAGUGGGAGAAGGGCAGUAAG
rnacentral:rRNA from 1 species